UACGUAGGGUGCAAGCGUUGCCCGGAAUCAUUGGGCGUAAAGCGCGCGUAGGUGGCUUCGUAAGUCCGUUGUGAAAGUCGAGGGCUCAACCCUCGAAUGCCGGUGGAUACUGUCGGGCUUGAGUACGGGAGAGGCGAGUGGAAUUCCUGGUGUAGCGGUGAAAUGCGCAGAUAUCAGGAGGAACACCGAUUGCGAAGGCAGCUCGCUGGAACGGUACUGACGCUGAGGCGCGAAAGCGUGGGGAGCGAACAGG
rnacentral:rRNA from 1 species